ensembl:lncRNA
GGUAGCCUAGUGGUUAGAGUGUAGAGGAGGCAGGUAGCCUAGUGGUUAGAGUGUAGAGGAGGCAGGGUAACCUAGUGGUUAGAGUGUAGAGGAGGCAGGGUAGCCUAGUGGUUAGAGUGUAGAGGCGGCAGGGUAGCCUAGUGGUUAGAGUGUAGAGGAGGCAGGUAGCCUAGUGGUUAGAGUGUAGGGGCGGCAGUGUAGCCUAGUGGUUAGAGUGUAGGGGCGGCAGGGUAGCCUAGUGGUUAGAGUGUAGAGGAGGCAGGGUAACCUAGUGGUUAGAGUGUAGAGGAGGCAGGUAGCCUAGUGGUUAGAGUGUAGAGGAGGCAGGUAGCCUAGUGGUUAGAGUGUUGGACUAGUAACCGAAAGGUUGCAAGUUUGAAUCCCGAGCUGACAAAGUACAAAUCUGUCGUUCUGCCCCUGAACAGGCAGUUAACCC